rnacentral:misc_RNA from 1 species
GAUGAAGAACGUAGCGAAAUGCGAUAAGUAAUGUGAAUUGCAGAAUUCAGUGAGUCAUCGAAUCUUUGAACGCACAUUGCGCCCUGUGGUAUUCCGCAGGGCAUGCCUGUUCGAGCGUCAUUUCAACCCUCAAGCCCCGCUUGGUGUUGGGCCCCGCCCGCUGUGGCCGGCCCUAAAGACAGUGGCGGCGCCGCCUGGCCCUCAGCGUAGUACAUCUCUCGCUCCAGGGUCCGGUGGCCGCCUGCCAGAACCCCCCAACUCUGUGGUUGACCUCGGAUCAGGUAGGGAUACCCGCUGAACUUAAGCAUAUCAAUAAGCGGAGGA